UCACAUUUAACAAUUUUUUUUUACCAUGUUUCAACCUUUUAGAUUGAGUAUUUAUGUUGCAACAGGCACGUGCAAAUUGACCAUUAGUGCACUCUCCUGAUAGACAACCAACCAUAUGUUGGAAAAUCGUUUAUGGCCCACAUGAGAGCAACUCGCAAUUAAAAUACCUCCUUAGAAAAGGCAUCAUAGGUUUCUACUCCCACACUCCACAAAUCAUCUAACUCUUCUAUCAAAGGUUCCAGAUAGACUUCUAUAUUAUUUCCAGUUCCUUUUGGCCCAUGAAUGAGCAAGGCCAAAAUGAAGAGCUCUUGCUUCAUGCACAACCAUGGUGGAAGAUUGUAUGGCAUCAAAGUCACCGACCAUGUACUAGAAACAUUUCUCAUUGAGCCAAAUGGAUUAAAACCAUCACUGGCUAAUCCUAAGGAACCGUUGCAAGAAUCUUUUCAAAGUCUAAAUAUCUGGUGUCAUAAGCUCUCCAAGCUUCAGAAUCUGCAGGAUGUCGUAGAACUCCAUCUCUAUUCCACUCGUCAUGAUGCCAUUGCAUCAAUUUAGAUGUUUUUGAAGACAUAAAUAAUUGCUGUAGUCUUGGUUUUAGGGGGAGGUGCUUUAGGACCUUCGUUGGAAUCUUCUUGUCACUGUUUUUCUAUCUGGAAGCCCCACAAAUUAUGCACUCAUUUACAUCCUUAUUAGCAAAUUCAUUCCUAAAAAGCAUGCAAUCAUUAGGACAAGUAUGGAUAUUUUUAUAAUUUAAUCCUAGGCCCUUAACUAUCUUUUUGCUCUCAUAAAACGAAGGAGGCAAUUAUUGGGAAAGACAAGGGCACAAUCAAAAGAGUCCGAAAGGGUAGCAGUGGAAGAAUACCCAAGUCUAAACUUUCCUUCUCAAUUUGAACCAAGAGGAGACAAGAAAACCCAAGAAAACAAUGAUAAUAGGCAUCAAAUAAAUAAAUCACACAAAUACGAUAAGACAAGAAUAAAGGCAAUCACAGGAGACACCAAAUUUACGUGGAAAACCCUUCGGUGUGAAGAAUAAAAAAUCACGGGACCAAACUUCUACUAUAAUCACCAAGAGUUACAAUAUUUUUCUCCAAAAUUGUCCACAAAAAAGUGUCAAACAACGAGCAACAACAUAACAAGAUAGCACCAAACUAGAGAAUAAAAGGGAGCACAAACACCAAAAGUGCAGCUGCUGUUUGGGAAUAAAGAACAGGAGAUACGGGCCACCAAAUCCACUUCCG
rnacentral:lncRNA from 1 species